rnacentral:rRNA from 1 species
GUCCUAUCAUUUCUGCAUUAUGCUGACUGUACUCCCCUGCUCCUCUGUCCUUUUGUCCCUUGAAUUGUCAUUCUGAUCUAUAGUCUUCAUCAGAUUCAAGUUCAAUUUCUGUGGCAAAACUACUUCACUGAUGAUGUAUUCUUUACCAAAAGGCAUUAAUGUCUGAUUUUAUUCUUUUUAUGAGGUUAAUAGAUACUGAUGUUCCCUAAAACUCUGUUAUUAGGGAAGAACAAAUGUGUAAGUAACUAUGCACGUCUUGACGGUACCUAAUCAGAAAGCCACGGCUAACUACGUGCCAGCAGCCGCGGUAAUACGUAGGUGGCAAGCGUUAUCCGGAAUUAUUGGUCGACGCGGCCG